rnacentral:rRNA from 2 species
UACGUAGGUUGCGAGCGUUGUCCGGAUUUACUGGGCGUAAAGCGCGCGCAGGCGGAUCCGAAAGUCCACGGUGAAAGCUCCCGGCCCAACUGGGAGAGGCCCGUGGAAACUCCGGAUCUUGAAGGCAGGAGAGGCAAAUGGAAUUUCCGGUGUAGCGGUAAAAUGCGUAGAUACCGGAAGGAACACCAGUGGCGAAGGCGAUUUGCUGGCCUGUUCUUGACGCUCAGGCGCGAAAGCUAGGGGAGCGACCGGG